rnacentral:rRNA from 1 species
CUCUUGGUGAUUCCCCAAGUAAUCUCUGCCCUAUGAGUCGUUUAAAUGGCCGCAGUAUUUUGACUGUGCAAAGGUAGCAUAAUCAUUUGCUUUUUAAUUAAGAGCUGGAAUAAAAGAGGCGACGAAAUCUAGACUAUUUAAAUUUUAAAAAAAAUUGACAAAUAGGUUAAAAGGCCUAUAUCAACCAAAGGGACGAUAAGACCCUAUAAAACUUUACUUUUUACGCAGAGUUUGGCGGGGUUACUCUUGUGCCGGAGAGUUGAGCUGGGGCGGUAGUUAUAAAAACAAUUAUAUAAACAAUAUAUUAGAUAACAUAGUAGAACUCUUUAAGAAAUAAAACAAGUUACUUUAGGGAUAACAGCGUAAUUCCCCCAGAGAGUCCUAAUUGGCGGGGGAGUUUACGACCUCGAUGUUGAAUUGGGGUUUCUUACAUAAGCAAAAAUAUGUAUGGGCAGUCUGUUCGACUAUUAAAUCCCC